rnacentral:lncRNA from 13 species
AUGUUUCUCUGCAGAACGGCCUGGCAAAGAUGUGGGCAUUUGGCAAGGAAGUCAGCCUACCAGUUAUCUAGAGAUGUACUGCCACGGCGACAGAUGUCGUCGCUCCCCGGUGGUACUGGUGAUAACAUCAUCUAUGCCCUGCUGUGUGGUGGGGCCUUCGCUGGAGCUGUCGCCUAUACGUACAGCACUGUGACCACAGACCACGCCAGAUUCACCGACCGUGUAGCGGAUAUCAACGCUCGUCCUAAGACCGAGUGGGUUCCCAAACCAUGGCCCCCCAAGAGCAGGGAUGAGGAAGAGGAGGGUGAGGAAGCAGUAGCUGAUGGAGAGGAGGAAGCAGAGGAGGCGGCGCCUGGAGAGGAGCCUGCAGCUGAAGAGACUGUAGAGGCGGAAAACGUAGCAGAACUUGCUGAAGAGACCGAAGCAGUCUCUGAAGAACCUGCUGUGGAGGCAGCAGUAGAGGAAGUGGCUGUAGUAGAAGCAGAGACUGUGGUGGAGGAGGUCGCAGAGGCUGUCGCCGAGGCUGCUGAAGUCAUCGCCGAGGUUGCUGAAGAGGUCGUUGAGGUGGCCAAGGAAGUAGAGGCGGCAGCAGAGGAAGUGGUCAUAGUGGCCGAGGCCGUGGAGGAUGCUGCAGAGGCCAUUGCCGUGCCCGCCUUCCCCGAGGAAGCAGUUGCUGUGGUAGAGCCAGAGAGCAAUGUGGCACCAGUCGCUAUGGCUGCAGCCUCUGCUUUGGCGGUGACAACAGUCGCUGAAGUAGUUUUAGAAGUCAAGGAGGCUGCCCCUGUAGAGGCCCCAGCUGCAGAAGAAGCCGCUCCAGUCGAGGCCGCACCCAUAGAAGAGGCUCCAACUGCAGUCGAAGAAGCUCCAAUUGAGGCUGCCGCAGCAGAGAUUGUGGAGGCAGACGCUGCUCCUGUGGAGGCAGACGCUGCUCCUGUGGAGGCAGACGCUGCUCCUGUGGAGGCAGACGCUGCUCCUGUGGAGGCAGACGCUGCCCCUGUGGAGGCAGACGCGGCCCCUGUGGAGGCAGACGCGGCCCCUGUGGAGGCAGACGCGGCCCCUGUGGAGGCAGACGCGGCCCCUGUGGAGGCAGACGCGGCCCCUGUGGAGGCAGACGCUGCCCCUGUGGUGGAAGAGACGCCAGCUGCUAAGGAGUACAUUGUCGUGGUGCUGGACGGAGCGAGCAAGUCAGACAAGAAGCCCAAAGUCCUGGGGAUUGGCCCCAUGACCGGCAGGAUUAUCCCAGACGAAGACGAGGCCCCUGCUGCUGAGGUAACAGUAAGCACUUGGAGCCCCUGGAUGAUAUAUCUACUCUGAGGAAGACAAGGGAUGUGCCUUCCCCCACACUUGAACCCUUCCACACAUUUUGACCCCUAACCCCUGACAGUCUACCCUUGAUUUUUAUCUGUAGUAUAAAACUUUUCUCCCUGUCUUGCAUCGGGGAAUUGUCUGUGUAUAUGUUCAGAUAAUGCCUGCUUUAUGGAAACAAACAUCUGAUAUAUUAUUCUAAUGUACUCCACCUGUUCCAAGAAGAGGUACAUCUUCCUCUUGUAUCACAUUGGAGAUGUUUAGAAAUGGUCCAUCUAUGUAGGCUUCACAACUGAACCUGUGUCACUGCAGAUAGUCAGUCAUAUUUUACAAUGCAUUACUCUUCUCACCUUUUUAGAUGCGCACAGUCACAAAACAACUGUGAGUUUACUACUGGUUCAUCUGCACAACCUUUGAACGGAGACUGUCUUUCUCUCAAUGGGAGUUAUAUUUUCUUAGUAUACAGUAUGGUUGCAGCUGUGAAGGCUAAGGAUACUCUCACAGCAUAGUAUGUCAUAGUUUACUUCACCCAAGAAACCUCACACUAGACUCACUCCAAUGGUGUUUUCUGAUUCUCACCAUCCAAGGCAAUACUACACAUCCGAUGCUCAGCCACCAAUUGCCUCAUGGCCGGGUAGGAAUGUGACCAGCAUUCUUCAACUAUCCUCAUGUUCUAACUCUUUGGGCUGAUUCCAAUGUGAACAUCACAAGUAUUUAACUCAAAGGGAAUGCGAUCAGACUGCUUUUGGAAAUCAAAUCAAAUCAAAAAAUCACUCUUUCUGAGUCACUGACUUGUUUUUGGGAGACCAGAUCAAUUAGGCUACCUUACCAGCUCAGUAUUCCUCCAGCUUGUGAUCUACAGACCUUUUAUUAAUGCAGUGUUACAGUUGAACAAACCUUCGCAGUUGCAUGCCAGACAUGUGAUUCAUAUUGGGAAAAGAGCAUGACAACGAAUCAGUCAGGUUUUUACAGUCGGUGAUGUCUCUUCAAGCUAGACUCCAUUGCGUAGUCCAUGAUGUCGCUCUUCAAGAUUUCAUAAGGCAGACAUUUUCAUCUCUCUUUUAACUUUCUCCCUCCCCCUCUGUUGUAGAGCCUUUCUCUGCUCAGCACCAUGGCUAUAGAGUACACAGCUGUUAGAUAGUCCAUUUAUUUAAGUGACCCACUAUAGCUUAUUGUGGUGAAAAGCUGAAUCUGAAAUAGGAAAAGCCAUGAGUUGAGUGUAUAGCAUGUUUUCCUAGGCUGGUAUAAACAGUUGAGUGUUGUGCUUGUUGUCAUAUGAAAACAGUUUUUACUCUGCAGUCAGGCUUGUGUGGUGACAUACGUUAACUCAGCGCUUGAUAUGGCUCAGUGAGUGUUUUUAAAGUUUUUUUCAGCUUUUCAAAUGAAUGAUUUACUAGUUAGUUUAGAUUCCCAAAUACAUGUUCGUAACUUUGUCAGAACCAGUUAAAAUAAUCUGCAGGCCCUACAAGGCUUUCACUGUAGACAUACUCUACAUAUUUGUUGUAGGACUAGUUCUCUUCUCACUUUCCUCACAUAUUAUAUUUUAUUUUUGAAAUGUUAGGCAUAUAUGAAAUGGUACCGAGACUGUUGCUAAGAAGUGAAUGUAGGAUCAUUCCUAAUUAAGGAGUGGGAUAAUUCAGUGUGUCUGUCCUAAUGUUUGCAGGCAGGUUUUGAAUGGGCUAUAUAGUGGCUUGUCCUGUGAGUGGAGGGCUUCACGCUGUGCAUCUGGCCUAGCAUGGGCUACAAACUGUGACUAUUUGAAACAUUGCUGUUUUUCUGAAAUAAAGGAAUAUUUCAGUUUUGUCUAUAGCUUUAUUUUGUGUGUGUGUCAACUUUGAAACCUCUCUGCUAUUGAAAAUACACCAUGACAAAUUAUGUCCUGUAUAUGAGCAUUCACUAUCGUUGUCGUAGUAAACCCCAAAACCUCAUUGCUACCAUAUAUAUAGUUAAAAUGGUGAAAUACUCAGGCAGUUAUGCAGCAAUCACAAAGGAUGUAUUCAUGCAGCAAUCACAAAGGAUGUAUUCAUGCAGCAAUUUCUAUUUACAUAAGUGUGUCUGAAAUCAUUUAUUUAUCGAUAAAUGACUUUUUGUAACGCCAGGGCCACGUUUGGAUGGGUCCACUGCCAGGGGACAGUAGCGCGAUGCUCUGACGUCAUCGCGGCCAAUGUGUCAUCGCUAGCGGGCUACAGAAGGUUGGCCCGACUUCCCCCAGCAAAGAGACGGCGCGCAGGAAAGUAGUGAGAUCGAAACAUCCUGUAAAAUAGGACUAACUUCAAACAAAUGCAAUAUACGGAAUUUCAGUAUUGUUUUGUCGGUGAAAAUCAACAUAAGAGCACAUAGCAAGCUAUUUGGCUGAAAUAUUGUGCUUGCUAUAGCAAGCUUGCAAACACUUGAGAGUAUUCAAAUUAAGGAGCGCGUCGACGUCGGCCUGGUCAAUUUGGCUAGCCAGCUAGCUUACAGAGCUAGACCUAUCUUGAAGUUAUCGACUGCAGGACAAGCAACAUAAGAG